UGAUGGAAAUAUUCCAUUUAUUGUGGAUGCAGUUUCAGAAUACAUUGCUUGAACAAAUCAUUUUUAUUGCAGCUAUCAGAUGUAUUUGAAAGACUCAGAGGAGUGCUUACAAAACCCCCAAACAAAAAACAUGACAACUCACAGACAAUGUCAGGCACAGUUUCACCCCCUACAGAAAACUACAUGCAUCUCUCUACGUAAACAGGAUGUUUCAAGCAAGCAGGGGAUCUCAUCUUUGGGUUGAAAUAUAACAUUAUUCUUCUUUAGGAAGGAGUCAGAUGCUGUAAGAGAUGGAAGUGGUGAAAAGGGAGAUCCUGGUAGUUCUGGCGCAGAACAAAGCUGUUAACAAUAUGCUCAGGGGCUACUUCAGUUGCUCAGUUUGUGCCACCCAUAUACUGUAGGAUGUAAAUGCUGAACUGCAUGGCAUGUAAAUUCAAAACAAGCUGAUGUCUUAUAGUUGUGUGUUUACUAUAUACAAAUGAAAACAUCUGUAAAUAAGAUAUUUGGGAGAGAGAGUUUAAAAGAAGCACUAUAAAGAUAGAGGCUUACUUCAUUUUCAGUUGACUUAGUGUACGGCACUGAUGGAUGGCAAGAUCUAGUGUACAGUCAUUUGAAACAAGCUCCAACUGUGUUUAGGCUUUUUUUCUUUUUCAUUAUGGUAGCUUUAUAUAAAUUAAACUACAACGUUUUAUACAAGUGACCUAUUUUUGACCCUCUAUACCCUUACCUUUUCCUCUUUUAAAAACUAUACUUUCUUUUUAAUUACCCAUUACUGGGCAACUGACAUUUAAAAAUUUUUAAUACUUAUCUCACCAUACCUCUAAUGGCAAUUAUGAAAUCUUACUAUAGAAAAGUGUGUGAUUCUGUCUUUGUCUUUUUAAGCUGUGAUGUUGGCUAAUUAUGUAUGUUUAUUACUAAAUAUAAUACUCUAGCAUGUAUUAAAGCAUUCUACCAUUAGUAGUGCCUUUAGGCUAAACUUUGUAAAGCUAUGUGGUAUAUAUUCUAAAUUGCAUUCAAUUACUAGUCACUAACAACAAAAAGAAACAUCAGUACCGCUGUCAGCUAACAUAAUCAUCCAAAUUUAAGUAUUAACUUAAACUAGAAUGGAAAAAUUGAUACUUAAAAAAAGUAUAAAACAAAAAAAUUAAAAUACGUUAUUGAUGCAGUAUUUCUCAUGACAUGGGCAACUUACAGAAAAUAUUACAUUGUCAACUAAAGAUAUUUCUUCCAUGCCUUAGUCUAAAGUGCAGAAAGAAAAGACUUCUGUAUUACAAAAGUAACCAUUGUUUUUAUAGGUUUACUGCACACCUUUCUUAAGCAACUUCACUUUACACACAUUUUGGGUUGACUUCUUUUGCCAGUUGAAAUCACUGUUCCGAUACAUAGUUAUGACAAUCAGUAGGAGUCUAUAUAUUUCACAGCAUGGGUUUCUUUAGAAAUAAAGGCUCUUGUGCAAAGGCAGUACUAUUAUGAUGAAUGUCUAGACUGAUUAUUAAAUACAGUGCUAAUAUACAUGGUUUUAACUGGGAUAAUGCAA
rnacentral:lncRNA from 1 species